GUUUGAUUAGGAUUUAUUUAGGAUUUGAAUAGAAUUUGUUUAGGAUUUGAUUAGAAUUUUUUUAGAAUUUGAUUAGAGUUUGGUUAGGAUUUGCUUAAGGUUUGAUUAGAUUUUAUUUAGAAUUUGACUAAGAUUUGGUUAGGAUUUGGUUAAGGUUUAUUUAAGAUUUGAUUAGGAUUUGAUUAAGGUUUGUUUAAGAUUUGAUUAGGAUUUGAUUAGAAUUUGAUUGGGAUUUAUUAGGAUUUGAUUA
rnacentral:lncRNA from 1 species